rnacentral:rRNA from 1 species
UACGUAGGGGGCUAGCGUUGUCCGGAAUCAUUGGGCGUAAAGAGCGUGUAGGCGGUCCGGUCAGUCGGUUGUGAAAGUCAAGGGCUCAACCCUUGAAUGCCGGCCGAUACUGCCGGGCUAGAGUCCGGAAGAGGUGAGUGGAAUUCCUGGUGUAGCGGUGAAAUGCGCAGAUAUCAGGAGGAACACCGGUGGCGAAGGCGGGUCUCUGGGCCGAAAUUGACGCUGAGGAGCGAAAGCGUGGGGAGCAAACAGG